rnacentral:rRNA from 1 species
GACGAACGCUGGCGGCGUGCUUAACACAUGCAAGUCGAACGGUGAACCUCUUCGGAGGGGCUCAGUGGCGAACGGGUGAGUAACACGUGGGCAACCUGCCCCCGGCUCUGGGAUAACUCCAAGAAAUUGGGGCUAAUACCGUAUGUUCACCGCUUCCCGCAUGGGUGGUGGUGAAAAGGGUUUCCGGCUGGGGAUGGUCGCGCGGCCUAUCAGCUUGUUUGUGGGGUAGUGGCCUACCAAGGCGACGACGGGUAGCCGGCCUGAGAGGGUGACCGGGCACACUGGGACUGAGAGACGGCACAGACUCCAACGGGAGGCAGGAGUGGGGAAUAUUGCGCAAUGGGCGGAAGCCUGACGCAGAGACGCCGCGUGGGGGAUGACGGCCUUCGGGUUGUAAACCUCUUUCAGCAGGGACGAAGCGAAAGUGACGGUACCUGCAGAAGAAGCACCGGCCAACUACGUG